CCUAAUACAUGCAAGUCGAGCGAAGUGGAGGAAGCUUGCUUCCAAAGCUUAGCGGCGGACGGGUGAGUAACACGUGGGCAAUCUGGCUGUAGGACAGGGAUAACCCCGGGAAACCGGAGCUAAUACCGGAUAGAGGUAAAGAUCGCAUGAACUUUACCGGAAAGAUGGCGCAAGCUAUCACCUGCAGAUGAGCCCGCGGCGCAUUAGCUAGUUGGUGGGGUAACGGCCUACCAAGGCGACGAUGCGUAGCCGACCUGAGAGGGUGAUCGGCCACACUGGGACUGAGACACGGCCCAGACUCCUACGGGAGGCAGCAGUAGGGAAUCUUCCGCAAUGGACGAAAGUCUGACGGAGCAACGCCGCGUGAGUGAUGAAGGUUUUCGGAUUGUAAAACUCUGUCAUUAGGGAAGAACGGCUAUGGUUUAAAGAAGGCCAUAGAGUGACGGUACCUAAAGAGGAAGCCCCGGCUAACUACGUGCCAGCAGCCGCGGUAAUACGUAGGGGGCAAGCGUUGUCCGGAAUUAUUGGGCGUAAAGCGCGCGCAGGCGGUUCUUUAAGUCUGAUGUGAAAGCCCCCGGCUCAACCGUGGAGGGCCCUUGGAAACUG
rnacentral:rRNA from 1 species